rnacentral:rRNA from 1 species
AUUGAACGCUGGCGGCAGGCCUAACACAUGCAAGUCGAACGAGUGGCGGACGGGUGAGUAAUGUCUGGGGAACUGCCCGAUGGAGGGGGAUAACUACUGGAAACGGUAGCUAAUACCGCAUACUAUCGGAUGAACCCAGAUGGGAUUAGCUAGUAGGUGGGGUAACGGCUCACCUAGGCGACGAUCCCUAGCUGGUCUGAGAGGAUGACCAGCCACACUGGGACUGAGACACGGUCCAGACUCCUACGGGAGGCAGCAGUGGGGAAUAUUGCACAAUGGGCGCAAGCCUGAUGCAGCCAUGCCGCGUGUAUGAAGAAGGCCUUCGGGUUGUAAAGUACUUUCAGCGGGGAGGCGUUACUCGCAGAAGAAGCACCGGCUAACUCCGUGCCAGCAGCCGCGGUAAUAC